CAAUGCUAUAAUUGAGCUAAUCUUUGUAGUUUGGUGCAGGACCACCAAGUUUGUGUGACCCAUUACCUACUUUUUCCAUGCUCAGCCAUUACCCUGUCCUGGGGCAUCUGAGGGCAGUAAGGAACAGGUGUCCAAAGGAGGAAUGUUGGUGCCUAUGAGUGACCAUUGUGAGGUAGAUAUUUUGUUCUAAUUUUCCAGAUGAGGAAGCUGAGACCCUAAAAGGUUAGGUGACAGGUUAUACAACUUGGAGUGUGGGAGGAGGAGAGAGGAACCUGAACAGGGCAAGUUGGGGAUCUGACUUUUGUUUGGGUAGAUGUAGGCACAUUGUAUUUUUGGCUUAGAUGCUUUAUUCAUCAUGGCUGAAGGUAAUACCAUUUACUCACUCACCGAAAAUUGUUUACAAUAAUCUAGAUGAAUUUGCUGUCUUUGGACAUCUGUCUUUUGACUGGACCCCAGUAUAUAGUCUGUGGAAG
rnacentral:lncRNA from 10 species